rnacentral:rRNA from 1 species
GACAGAGGGUGCAAACGUUGUUCGGAAUUACUGGGCGUAAAGCGCGUGUAGGCGGCCCGGAAAGUCGGAUGUGAAAGCCCUGGGCUUAACCUAGGAAGUGCAUUCGAAACUCCCGGGCUUGAGUUCUGGAGAGGAAGGCGGAAUUCUCGGUGUAGAGGUGAAAUUCGUAGAUAUCGAGAGGAACACCGGUGGCGAAGGCGGCCUUCUGGACAGUGACUGACGCUGAGACGCGAAAGCGUGGGGAGCAAACGGG